rnacentral:lncRNA from 1 species
CUGAGUUCCGGUGCUAGUGUCAGCCCACUGAUGUGAGGAGCUGGGUUCUAGAAUUUUUGGCUGUGAGAUCAGAGGACCUGGAGCUGGUGCUAGCCUGCUGGUGGAUGGUGUUAUGGCAUACAUGUACCCAGGGCUGGUAUUGGCCCAUUGGUUAGCAGAAUAGGAUCCUAGGGUCUCUUGCUACAAGGCCCUGGUUGUCUCAAAGUUCAUUUUGACCUGUGAGGGAUGUGAUGCUUGUUCUAGACUGCUGUUUAGGAAGAAUGUCUUGGAUCCUGAUGCUCACCAAGGAACACUCUCUGUGCUAUGGGACUGUUGCUAUUUAAUUUGUUUAUCUCAUUCCUAAGCCAGGGUAAGUGAAAUCCAUAACUUAGGAAGAUUUCCUUCCUGAAUAAGCUAUUCUUAUAAAACUGUAAAAUCAACACUUCACUGAAUGUCCAGG